GAUGAACGCUGGCGGCGUGCCUAAUACAUGCAAGUCGAGCGAACGGACGAGAAGCUUGCUCCUCUGACGUUAGCGGCGGACGGGUGAGUAACACGUGGAUAACCUACCUAUAAGACUGGGAUAACUUCGGGAAACCGGAGCUAAUACCGGAUAAUAUUUUGAACCGCAUGGUUCAAUAGUGAAAGACGGUUUUGCUGUCACUUAUAGAUGGAUCCGCGCCGCAUUAGCUAGUUGGUAAGGUAACGGCUUACCAAGGCAACGAUGCGUAGCCGACCUGAGAGGGUGAUCGGCCACACUGGAACUGAGACACGGUCCAGACUCCUACGGGAGGCAGCAGUAGGGAAUCUUCCGCAAUGGGCGAAAGCCUGACGGAGCAACGCCGCGUGAGUGAUGAAGGUCUUCGGAUCGUAAAACUCUGUUAUUAGGGAAGAACAAAUGUGUAAGUAACUAUGCACGUCUUGACGGUACCUAAUCAGAAAGCCACGGCUAACUACGUG
rnacentral:rRNA from 1 species